rnacentral:rRNA from 1 species
GACGAACGCUGGCGGCGUGCUUAACACAUGCAAGUCGAGCGGUAAGGCCCUUUCGGGGGUACACGAGCGGCGAACGGGUGAGUAACACGUGGGUGACCUGCCUUUAGCUUCGGGAUAAGCCUGGGAAACUGGGUCUAAUACCGGAUAUGACCUGUCCUCGCAUGGGGGUUGGUGGAAAGUCGGUGUUGUAAUGACGCUGUUCGGCUAGAGAUGGGGCCCGCGGCCUAUCAGCUUGGUUGGUGGGGAUGGCCUACCAAGGCGACGACGGGUAGCCGGCCUGAGAGGGCGACCGGCCACACUGGGACUGAGAUACGGCCCAGACUCCUACGGGAGGCAGCAGUGGGGAAUAUUGCGCAAUGGGCGGAAGCCUGACGCAGCGACGCCGCGUGGGGAUGACGGCC